UGAAAUCAAAAAUCAAAAUGGCAAGAUCCACUAGAGGUUUGCUUUUCUUACAUGUCAACUGACAUUGUGUUUUUCUAGUUGUAAAGGUUAAAAACAGGGGUGCCCAAACUCGGUCCUGGUCCUUGGUUUAGCUCCAACUUGCCUCAACACACCUGCCAGGGGGUUUCUCGUAUGCCUAGUAAGAGCUUGAUUAGCUGGUUCAGGUGUGUUUAAUUGGGUCUGGAGCUAAAAUCUGUAGGACACCUCCCUCUAGGACCAAGUUUGGGCACCCCUGGAUUAAAGCAAUGUUAAGAUACUGACAAACAGUAGUGUUUCCUUGGACUCGGACGGACUCGACUCGGACUCGAUUGGUAAAAGACUCGGACUCGACUUAGGUGGACUCGAACCCAACACUAGGGAUUUAGCCCUGGUUCGUUCUGGUCCUGGUCCAUGGUAAACAACAUUUUUAACUGAUGAUUAAAUAAUUGGUCAAAUGAUUGAAGUAGCAUUAAAUAAAAAAAUAAAUAAAUAACAACUUUAUCUGAAAUGAGUUAAAAUACCUGCAGCAGCACUGUUAUGAUACAUGUUUAAUGUUUCUGAUCAACAUCCUGAAGGGUUUGCAGUUCAGAAGAUCAACAUGAAUCAGAGAAAACCUGUGAGAGGCCAUCAAAAUCAGCUCUUCAACCCAAAUGAGAUUCAUCCUAAUAUAAAACCCAUAAUUCAGCAAAAUGUUGCAGGUGACCAAAUUCACCGUCAGAAGUUGUCAUGCUCUCACCUCAUUCACUUUCUGAAAACAAGCAGAAAAUCAAAACUAAAGUCUGAACUGAUGUUGUCAGCUGACAAAGUCAAAUACAGACCAGACACAACUGAGGCUUCAUUUAGUCUGAUGCAGCAUCAAAAAACAGACAGCACAACAGCAUCUGUGGAGAAUAAAAUCUUUUCUGAACCCAUGUUUGCAGAGAAAGAAAGCAGUGUUGAUGUUUCCUAUCACUGGAUGAUUGCCACAAACAGUGAAUUGUGGGACAUUGGGGAUAUUUUCUCACAAACAAAUUUCUCCUUACCAGAGCUGUUCCAAAAUGAAAUGACAGAUUUUAAUUCCCAAGAUGACACUGAAGUUUCUGAUCUCUCCGGCCGAAGCGUCUGUUCCUCAGCAGGAGAAUUGUGGUGUCUGAAGGAAAGCCCCGUCACACUGAGUCACAGAUUAGAGAAGAUUCCAGUUGUGAUCAGCCAUGUUGUUCAUCCAAACAAGUUCUUCCUCCAACACAAGAACACAAGACUUUAUUUUAUGAUUUCAUCUCUGAAACACUUUCUUUCCUACUGCCUUUGACAAGUUAUGAUGAUAAAAUGAUUAUGGAGAUGUUGUUUGCGUGUCUCUUUGGGAUGUGAAGAAACUGUGUGAAGAAACAGCAUCCAUACCUGUGCAAGCACUGCAGGUCUCACUGGUGAAUGUGAGGCCAGUGAAUGGAGAAACAUGGUCUUUUGAAGCGAUCAGCUGGUUCAGGAGUAAAGUGCAGAGCAAGACUCUUUAUGCAAGACUUUACCCAGAAGUAGUAGUUUUGGUUGAACUCUUCAUGGAAAAGGGAAAAAUUGGUGCUAUGAGGAGAGGAGACUCUCUGUCUGUGAGACUUGCUCAGAAGUGACGUCCCAGAAAAAAACAGACAGCAGUCCUUACAGUGGGAGAAGUAUCUGAUCUCCUGUUACAGUAAAACAAGAAAUAAUGUUCACAGGAAUCAGCAAACUUAAAUUAGAGCUGGGGAAAUAAAUGGAUGCAUCAUGAAUUCCAGAAAGAAUCGCAAUGCAUUCGGAAAAUCUCAGAAUCGAUCCAUGAAUCAUGAUGCAUUGAUUUGUCAUCGCAGCCUUACAAGUUUUUGUCAUUCAUCAUUACUGUACAACCUUAUACAUGCUUCACAAUAUCUACUACAUGCACAUUUCAUAGUCUUGUGUAUUUGGUGUUUUUGUUUCAUUUGUGUACACUACAUUGUUAUGCAUAGUUUGUAUUACAAAAAUAUGUAGUGUUCUGUGCUGUAGAAUUUGUUCUUAUUGGUUUAGAUAAUUCAUAACAACUAGGAAUUAUAUAUAAAAAAAGAAUAUCUUAUUUCUAAGUAUUUUAGAGUUCACUUUGUGUGUUCUGUUGUUCCUUUGGAAAAAUACUGAAAUAUGUUCUGUUAUUUGUUAACUCUGGCUGGUCAAACUUUGACUAUAUACUUUAAUUUUACUUUAGAGCUCAUUAACACAUUAACACUUGAAAAAACAUUUUUUUU